AAGGCAUGACAUUGCUCACAUUGCUUCCAGUGUUUUAUUUGUAUAGCCAGCUCGGGUGCUGGCUUUUUUUU
rnacentral:antisense_RNA from 1 species